rnacentral:rRNA from 1 species
ACGCUCGACACCUACGGGGGGCAGCAGUGGGGGAAUAUUGCACAAUGGGGGAAACCCUGAUGCAGCGACGCCGCGUGGAGGAAGAAGGUCUUCGGAUUGUAAACUCCUGUUGUUGGGGAAAAAGAGGAUGGUACCCAACAAGGAAGUGACGGCUAACUACGUGUCAGCAGCCGCGGUAAUCUGAGCGGGCUGGCAAGGC